rnacentral:rRNA from 1 species
UAAAGUGGAUUAGCGGCGGACGGGUGAGUAACACGUGAGUAACCUGCCUUAGACAUUGGGAUAGCCUCGGGAAACCGGGAUUAAUACCAAAUAAAAUCAUAAUGACACAUGUCAUAACGAUCAAAACUCCGGUGGUCUAAGAUGGACUCGCGUCCCAUUAGCUAGUUGGUAGAGUAAAAGCCUACCAAGGCGACGAUGGGUAGCCGGCCUGAGAGGGUGAACGGUCACAUUGGAACUGAGAAACGGUCCAA